rnacentral:tRNA from 1 species
UUGCGGCUGGAUCAUUCCUUUCUGGAAAUGCGCAUUCAAGUUCAACGCGCCCACGCUUAUCGGCUGUAUGAGUGGACACAACAGUGCCUGCGAGGGUCUGUAGCUCAGUCGGUUAGAGCACCGUCUUGAUAAGGCGGGGGUCGUUGGUUCGAAUCCAACCAGACCCACCAUCGCCGCCAAGGGGGAUUAGCUCAGCUGGGAGAGCACCUGCUUUGCAAGCAGGGGGUCGUCGGUUCGAUCCCGUCAUCCUCCACCACCUCAGGCACCGAUCGUUCACGCCAGGCUUUGAAAAUCGAAGUCUGGCGUGAGCGAUUCGUAAGAAUGGCUGUUGUUCUUUAACAAUUCGUAGAGUCCAAUCCGCGUUGUCGGCGGAAAGCCC